rnacentral:rRNA from 1 species
UACGAAAGGUGCAAGCGUUGUUCGGAUUUACUGGGCGUAAAGAGAGUGUAGGUUGUUUAUUAAGUCGGAUGUGAAAUCCCGGGCUCAACCCCGGAACUGCAUUCGAUACUGAUAGGCUAGAGUUCGGGAGGGGUAAGCGGAAUUCCGUGUGUAGCAGUGAGAUGCGUAGAUAUACGGAGGAACACCUGAGGCGAAGGCGGCUUACUGGACCGAUACUGACACUGAGACUCGAAAGCGUGGGUAGCAAACAGGAUUAGAAACCCUAGUAGUCC